UGACGUUGCAUGAACGCUUUACUAAAUACCUAAAGAGAGGAACUGAGCAGGAGGCAGCUAAAAACAAGAAAAGCCCAGAGAUACACAGGAGGAUAGACAUUUCCCCCAGUACAUUCAGAAAACAUGGUUUGGCUCAUGAUGAAAUGAAAAGUCCCCGGGAACCUGGCUACAAGGAUGGGCAUAAUUCUAAAAAUGAACUACAAAGGGUUAAUUUUUAUUAAAUGUAUCAACAACCUUUGUGAAGUGGUUAGAAUAUGGUAAAUGACCCCAAAGUCUGUUGAGGUGAGCUUGAGAAAAAAAAGAGAGGAGUUUUGGAACAAGUGCCCAUGAUGAGAGAAGAAACUUUUUGUGAUAUUUUUCUGCUUGUAAGUAUUAUCAAAUCAACUGUAUACAUGCACUAUUUCCAACCAUGAUUUCAAAAAGACAUGCAUGUCAGAGGAGAGUGAAAUAUUCAUAUCUUAACUUAGUAGACUGUUUUAAACAGCUGGUCUAGUUUUUUUCCUAACAUUGUACCAUUAUCUAUCAUCUGUUGGUUACUGUUACUUUAAAGCUAAACAUUACUUUGAUGGCCCAGCUACAUUUGCAAUGAUGUGCACGUAAACACUGUUAUUAAGAGGUUAAAGCUUGUAUGCAAUCUUUUACUGUGAAAUAACUAGAUUCGGUUUUUAAAGUCUUAAUAUUUAUUGAUCUUCAUUUACAUAUAGAGUUGAAAUUUAAAAUUAGAAAUGGCUCUUCUAUUGCUGCUGAUAACUUUUCUAAAAAUAUUAAUUUUCAAGUUCUCCAAACAACUUAAUCUAGCUGGUUGAAUGUGAUGAGAGGCACUCUUGGGCAGUCUCUCUUCUUUCCCCACCCCCCUUUUCUCUUUCUCCAAGUACCCAUCAGCUUGGCACUAACCAUGUAAAACCCAAGGUUUUGAAAUAUCAGAAGAGAUCUCAUCCUCCAUGCCUCAAAAACUCAACUCAUUAGAGUUGCUGUUUGUACUGCCCAAGGGAGCAGCAGCUGCAUUGGUCUUUUUGUCUUUUUUUUUUUUUUAUCUUGGAGGAUGCAGAGGCCUCAUUCCUUCUCUUAGAAACAGAUGAAGUGAUAAAAUAGUAAUCAAUCUAUUUCUGUUACUCCUGCUAUUAAACUUUAUUUCAAAAAGUUUGGUAGUUCAUGUAAGUACAAUGUUAAUACAGAGUGAACUGCUCAUUUCUCCUUCCUUUAGAGAAGAUUUACUUCCUUGAGACAAAUUCUAUUAUAUGAUGUCCCUGAAACUACCUUGCAUCUUUGCCCCCACUGAGUUUCCUGAGAAUUGUCAAAAGCCAUUGCUGUGAUGGUCUGGGCUGGUGUACCGUUGUUGCUCCUGGGUUCAUACUGUAUCUGCAGCAUAUCCUGACGGUUAAACUUCCUAGGAAGUUAACAAAAAAAUUUUUCUUCUUUUUUUUUUUUAAAGUAGACUUUGACCUGGUACUGCCAGUUUAUGAAUUAUCCAUUAUAGUUUUUGAUAUUUCUUGUAGAGAAACUUCUCAGUAUAGCUCAGCAUUUUGGAAAGCUGCUUAAAUCUUCCAUUGUCUCUCUCUGGACUCAGCCCUGAGAGAUAAUUCCAAGUAGAGGAUAAGCCGUGGGUGACUGCUACAGUGUAGGUAGGGGAAGAUGAGCAUUUCUACUCUUAGUGGUGACUAAGCCUGAACCAGCCCAACCACCCACGUUCCAGAGCUAACUUUAGCCCUCUCACUUUUAGACUAGACAGUCAUUAGUGGGCCACAGAAGCAACAAAGUGAAAUCAAUAUAUAGUAUUUUCAGAAGGCUACCGUCCUCAUUGUUUUAGGGAGCUGGUUUGGGUGCUAUAAGGGAUCAUCAUGAAAUAACUUUGUGGGACAUCUUGCAUUCCU